rnacentral:rRNA from 1 species
CCUGGUGGCUUUAGCGCGGUGGUCCCACCUGACCCCAUGCCGAACUCAGAAGUGAAACGCCGUAGCGCCGAUGGUAGUGUGGGGCCUCCCCAUGCGAGAGUAGGGAACUGCCAGGC